rnacentral:lncRNA from 1 species
UCAUUGCCCCACAUCUAGUGUUUCUGAUCCCAUUAGACUUGCAGUAGUGAGAGAGAGAUUUGAUGUCAGGUAAAGGUUCAGAGUCCUGAUCUGUGUUAAGUAUGAGCAACCUGUAUGUCACUUUUCCUCAUCCACAAAAGCCUACUUUCAGGGGGUUGGAGAGAUGACUCAGUGGCUGGAAGCACUUGGACUUGUACCUCAUGCAGAAGACACAGUUCUGUUCCCAGCACUUACCCUGAUUGCUACACAACUGCCUACUACUCCAGUUCUAGGGCAUCUGGUGCCCUCUUCUGGCCUCCACGGAUACACAUACACAAAUAGAAGGAAUUGUUUAAAAAAAAACCUACCUACUUUCAGGGUCCUUGUUAUCAUUACACACUGGGGACUAAUAGCCAUCUCUUCAAACAACUCUACCAGUUGAGGACAAUCUUCAUUUAAUAGAUAAGGAAACUACAGUAUGGAAACUGAGAUAAUUUCACAGUGAGUGGCGGAGCCAGGAAAGAGGCUACAUUACAAUCUCCAAAUAAUUUCUUACAAAGGAAGCAGCCAUGGCUAUUUCAGUUUAUGCUGUUUCCUCUUGAAAUUGUCCCCAUCAUCACAGCCCACCCACCUCCUGUAGCAGGCCACAGUCAUCUGUGCAGUUGUACUGCAGCCUUCAUUACGUUCCAUUUCCAUUAUCUGGGCCAUGUCUGUUCCUGAGGAAGCUCUUUGGUCACCUUGGAAUUUUUGUUGUCUCUACAAUGCCAGCGCAUUGUAGGUAUACUCAGUUAUACUUAAAUGAAUAAUCAGGACACCACAGUACUCUUGUCUUCACAUGCUCAUGCUGUUUGCAAGGUUCUGCACACUCCUGGCGACUGUUGCAGGGUGACGUUUUAGUGACUCUCCUAACCUGUGAUCUCUUCUGUUUCCUCCAUAGCACGAGUUUCUGCAGAGAUGAGUUUAGUCUUCUUUCAGGAGGAGAGGUCAUUGUCCCAACCAGGAAGUGGUCUUGUGGUCCCACUGACCCCAGUCUUUUCCAGACAGAGCUGGGGCUCAUACUAGCUCAACUGGCGAUUUCCCAGAGACUCACAAUUCUAUUUCUCAAGAGUGCUAUAGAUCCCUCCCCCAAGAAGGCUCCUGCUCCAAACUCCACAAUCUUAGUAUUGUGUGUGGAGAGAACUAAAAGAUUUAUUGGAAUGCUGAUGGUGACCAAGUAAGUACAGCUUUUCACCAUUCACCCUGAAGAGGGUGCUCCCAAAAGUCCUGUC